GACGAACGCUGGCGGAGUGCUUAACACAUGCAAGUCGAACGAAGUGGCGAACGGGGGAGAAAUAAGUGGGUAACAUGCCCUCCUUUUUGGGAUAAGCCUCGGAAACGGGGUCUAAUACCGAAUAACGGGGGAUGGGCUCGUGGCCUAUCAGCUUGUUGGUGGGGUGCUGGCCUACCAAGGCGGUGACGGGUAGCAGGCCGGAGAGGGUGACCUGCCACAUUGGGACCGGGGUACCGCCCAGGCUCCUCCGUGGGGGAGCAGUGGGGGCUAUUGCACCAGUGGUGAAAGACUUAUGCCGCGACGGCGCGGAGGGGGUUCAGGCUUUCGGGUUGUAAACCCCUUUCGCUAUCGAACGGGUAGGUGGAGAAGAAGCGCCGGCUAACUACGUGCCAGCAGCCGCGGUAAUAC
rnacentral:rRNA from 1 species